rfam:Parcubacteria group bacterium RIFCSPLOWO2_01_FTLL_48_18 rifcsplowo2_01_scaffold_382, whole genome shotgun sequence.
GGGCAUAUGGUGGAUGCCUUGACUUGAGAAGGCGAUGAAGGACGUGGCGUGGCUGCGAUAAGCUUCGGGGAGGCGCUUAGCAACCUAUGAUCCGGAGAUUUCCGAAUGGGGAACCCCCGCCGUGCAAACCACGGCGAGCCGUGCUUUGCACAGAAAUCCGAAGUACGAAAUACGAAAUCCGAAACAAAAAGCUUCGAAUUUCGAUAUUCGAAUUUCGAGUUUCCGCGCAGAGCGCGGCGGCGUACCCGCUGAAUUGAAACAUCUUAGUAAGCGGAGGAAAAGAAACCAACAUUCAGCUCUACGCUGUGCUAACUAAGUUACCUGCUCAAUUUUUUGGAUUUGGAGAAUAAAAAAAGAGGACCGUCGCGCGCGGCGGUCCCAGAACUCAAGCACCCCGAGGACAGAAGUCAAGCAAGGGAUGCUGAUAGUAUUAUAGCAUGCUGGUAGGUUUUGUCAAGAGUCCAAAAAUUUGAGCAGGUAUAAGGUUGGAACAGUGUUCUACUGAAUCAUUCCCUUAGUAGCGGCGAGCGAAAAGGGAGGAGCCUAGAGCUCGGGUGUGCAGCAUCGGGAAGCUUCAAAUUUCAAAGUCCAUAUUUCUAUUUUUUUCGCGAAGCAUAUUUCAAAUUAUUUCAGAAAUAUGUGGAAAUAUAUAGAAACUCAGAAAUAUGCGGACAUAUUUUGUCAUUUGGAAUUUCCGCUGCUGUGCAUCUGGGCAGUUGUAAGAUAGUAACGUCUUCCUGAUUUAUCAGAGAGGGGGGGUGUAAGUAAGACUUCGUUAGUAGAACAACUUGGAAAAGUUGGCCAAAGAGGGUGAUAGCCCCGUAUGCGAAAACGGUCUUAUAACCCCAGUUAUUAUCGACUCUUUAGAGUCGGAGCUAUGAUAUUUUUACAUGUCGUAGUUUCUUGAGUACUUCGACGACAGAAAGCGUCGGAGGAAACCGCGAGUACUAUCUCGCAAGGCUAAAUACUUCUCAAGAUCGAUAGUGAACAAGUACCGCGAGGGAAAGGUGAAAAGUAGCCCUAUUAGGGCAGUGAAAUAGUACCUGAAACCAUAUGCUUACAAGGAACCGAGGCUGAGCAUCUCACUGUCGUGAGAUGCGGAAUAUAGAAUCUUGAAUUUUGAAUUUGGAAUGAUUAUUCCAAAUUCUCCCGCCAAUCUCCGAAGGGCGAAGCCCUAGGCAAGAUUGGCGAGGAUCCCGUACUGUCCGCGAUGAAGAUAGGACAAAAUCUUCAUUCGGAGAUUGGCGGGACCCUAGCCAACUGUAGCCGCUCUCCCGCUUUCAGCGGGAUCGCGGACAGUUGCGGGACAACUUCUUCCGCCAAAGGCGGAUCCGCCUCAGGCGGAAAAUUCUGCACCGAACGAGAGUGAGGUGCUUGGUGACGGUGUGCCUAUUGAAGAAUGAGCCAACGACUUUAUCUAUGUUGCAAAGUCUAAUCCCGAAAAGGGAGAAGGCGCAGGGAAACCGAGUGUUAAAAGCGCGUUACUUUAGCUCGAUAGCUUUUUAGCUCAACAGCUCGUUAGUUUUCUAUCGAGCUAACGAGCUAAUCGGCUAACGAGCUUAAGUUAGCAGCAUGGAUAAGACCCGAAACCAGAUGAGCUUGCCAUGGCCAGGAUGAACGCCGGGUAACACCGUCGGGAGGUCCGAACCGGUGGGUUGUGCAAAACCCUCGGAUGAGCUGUGGUAAGGAGUGAAAAGCUAAUCGAAUCUGGUAAUAGCUGGUUCUCCCCGAAAUCGCUUUAGGGCUAGCGGCGUUUUAUGUCAUGCCGGAGGUAGAGCUACUGGAUGAUCCUCAAAGGGCGAAAGCUCGGAUGAUCAAUCAAACUCCGAAUGCCGGCAGGAUUACAACGCUAGUUAGACCGUGGGGGCUAAGCUCCAUGGUCGAGAGGGAAACAGCCCAGAUCGCCGUCUAAGGUCCCUAAAUUCUUGCUAAGUGUAAAAGGUAGUAAUCAGCCGAAGACAGGUAGGAGGUUGGCUUAGAGGUAGCCAUCCUUUAAAGAGUGUGUAACAACUCACUAUCAUAUCGGCCGCAUCUCACUAAGGCGAGAUACUUGAAUGACCAAUUUCUAAUUGACCUAAUUUCUAAUAAAUUUCCAAUACCCAAUUUCGGAAUUCGGUUACUGGGAUUUAUUUAGAAAUUAGAAGUUAGGAUUUAGAAAUUUGAGCACCGAACUUUAGUGAGGUGCGGUUGAUUGGCUGGUUGCGCCGAAAAUGUACCGGGGCUAAGCAAGAUACCGAAGACGCGAAUUACCUGCUCAAAUUUUUGGACUAAUAAAAUAAUAAAAAAGAGGCCACCCAUUGACGAAUGACCCCUGACCUGACUCGUGGAAGUUCUUGUUAGACGACUAUGGUCGUAACGACCGCGACGAUCACCCAAGAGCCGUAGAUGAGUGUUCCUUUCAUGGGUUCAACUCUCCACGCUUCGAUCAUGCGGCUUUCCGUAGCUCAUGAUCAUUGAGAUCGUUAUCGCCCCAAAGACUAAUGCCGAAACAAGUGAAGAAGUCGGUUCCACGACAAGCUCCUUGAUUGAGGGUUCGUUGCAAUUAUAGCAUAAAGUUAAGUUUUUUGUCGAGAGUCCAAAAAUUUGAGCAGGUAGUGGUAGGGGAGCAUUUUGUGCGCAGCGAAGGUUGACCCGCGAGGGCGACUGGAGCGCACAGAAGAGAGAAUGUUGGCAUGAGUAACCAACAAUGCCGAUGAGAAAUCGGCACUCCGUAAGCCCAAGGUUUCCGUGGCAAUGGCAAUCAACCACGGGUGAGGCGGUCCUAAGCCGAUGGCGAAAGCCGAAGGUGAUGGACAGACGGUUAAUAUUCCGUCCCACCGAUACUAUUUCGAUGGAGCGACGGUUGAAAUAAGGCCGGGCGUCUUAAUGGUUUGACGCUGUUUGCUUGAAGGAAUGUUGGACAGGCAAAUCCGUUCAACUGUCUUUUAUGGCAAAUUCCGAAAGCAGACGAAAGUUUUGGUUUUUACCAGGGCAAUCCGGCUGAAGAGCGAUCCAAGAAAAACUUCUAGAGUUAAUAGUAUUGGUUCCGUACCGCAAUCCGACACUGGUGGGCGGGGCGAGUAGCCCAAGGAGAACGAGUGAGUCCUCGUUAAGGAACUCGGCAAAAAAGCGGCCGUAAGUUAGCGAUAAGGCCUUCCCGAGCACCGCAAGGUGCGAGGGACGCAGCGAAAGUUUGCCUGGCGACUGUUUAUCAAAAACACAGCUCCCUGCUAACUCGUAAGAGGAUGUAUAGGGGGUGACGCCUGACCGAUGCGAGAAGGUUAAACGAUGGGGGUCGUAUGCAUCUCACUAAGGCGAGAUACUUGAAUGACCAAUUUCUAAUUGACCUAAUUUCUAAUAAAUUUCCAAUACCCAAUUUCGGAAUUCGGUUACUGGGAUUUAUUUAGAAAUUAGAAGUUAGGAUUUAGAAAUUUGAGCACCGAACUUUAGUGAGGUGUGUACGGCUCACUGUUGUAAGCCCUCGUCAAUGUCAGCGAUAACUAUAAUCGUUCUAAGGUAGCGCAAUUCCUUUCCGGGUAAGUUCCGGAGCGCACGAAAGGCGUAACGACUGGGCAACUGUCUCAACGAGGAGCUCGGUGAAAAUG